AACGUACGCUGGGCGGCACGCCUAACACAUGCAAGUCGAACGAAGUAGCAAUACUUAGUGGCAGACGGGUGAGUAACAUGUGGGUAUCUGCCCUUUGGCCUGGAAUAACACGAGGAAAACUUGUGCUAAUACCGGAUAAGUCUUUACGGAGAAAGCUUUAUGCACCAUUGGAUGAGCCUGCACUUGAUUAGUUUGUUGGUGGGGUAAUGGCCUACCAAGACUGUGAUCAAUAGCUGAUUUGAGAGGAUGAUCAGCCACAUUGGGACUGAGACACGGCCCAAACUCCUACGGGAGGCAGCAGUGGGGAAUCUUGCACAAUGGAGGAAACUCUGAUGCAGCGAUGCCGCGUGAGUGAAGAAGGCCCUUGGGUUGUAAAGCUCUUUCGUCGGGGAAGAAAAUGACUGUACCCGAAUAAGAAGGUCCGGCUAACUUCGUGCCAGCAGCCGCGGUAAUACGAAGGGACCUAGCGUAGUUCGGAAUUACUGGGCUUAAAGAGUUCGUAGGUGGUUGAAAAAGUUAGUGGUGAAAUCCCAGAGCUUAACUCUGGAACUGCCAUUAAAACUUUUCAGCUAGAGUAUGAUAGAGGAAAGCAGAAUUUCUAGUGUAGAGGUGAAAUUCGUAGAUAUUAGAAAGAAUACCAAUUGCGAAGGCAGCUUUCUGGAUCAUUACUGACACUGAGGAACGAAAGCAUGGGUAGCGAAGAGGAUUAGAUACCCUCGUAGUCCAUGCCGUAAACGAUGUGUGUUAGACGUUGGAAAUUUAUUUUCAGUGUCGCAGGGAAACCGAUAAACACACCGCCUGGGGAGUACGACCGCAAGGUUAAAACUCAAAUGAAUUGACGGGGACCCGCACAAGUAGUGGAGCAUGUGGUUUAAUUCGAAGAUACGCGCAGAACCUUACCAACACUUGACAUGUUCGUCGCGACUCUAAGAGAUUAGAGUUUUCGGUUCGGCCGGACGAAACACAGGUGCUGCAUGGCUGUCGUCAGCUCGUGUCGUGAGAUGUUGGGUUAAGUCCCGCAACGAGCGCAACCCUCACUUUUAGUUGCCAUCAUUAAGUUGGGCACUCUGAAAGAACUGCCAGUGAUAAGCUGGAGGAAGGUGGGGAUGACGUCAAGUCCUCAUGGCCCUUACGUGUUGGGCUACACACGUGCUACAAUGGUAUCUACAACAGGAAGCAAGACUGCGAAGUUAAGCAAAUCCCUAAAAGAUACCUCAGUUCGGAUUGCACUCUGCAACUCGAGUGCAUGAAGCUGGAAUUACUAGUAAUCGUGGAUCAGCGUGCCACGGUGAAUGCGUUCCCGGGUCU
rnacentral:rRNA from 1 species